UACGUAGGGUGCAAGCGUUGUCCGGAAUUAUUGGGCGUAAAGAGCGUGUAGGCGGCUCGGUUAGUCCGCUGUGAAAGUCCAGGGCUCAACCCUGGAAUGCCGGUGGAUACUGUCGAGCUAGAGUCCGGAAGGGGCGAGUGGAAUUCCUGGUGUAGCGGUGAAAUGCGCAGAUAUCAGGAGGAACACCAAUGGCGAAGGCAGCUCGCUGGGACGUGACUGACGCUGAGACGCGAAAGCGUGGGGAGCAAACAGG
rnacentral:rRNA from 1 species